rnacentral:rRNA from 1 species
GAUGAACGCUGACAGAAUGCUUAACACAUGCAAGUCGAUGGGGAAGUGGUGCUUGCACCAUGGUAACCAUGGCGGACGGGUGAGUAACGCGUAAGGAACUUGCCUGCGGGACUGGGAUAACAGCAGGAAACUGCUGAUAAUACCGGAUAAGGUCAUUAAGCUGCAUAGCUUAGUGAUGAAAGGAGACGCCUGCGGAGAGCCUUGCGUCCUAUUAGCUAGUUGGAGGGGUAACGGCCCACCAAGGCGAAGAUAGGUAGCCGGCCUGAGAGGGUGGACGGCCACAAGGGGACUGAGAUACGGCCCUUACUCCUACGGGAGGCAGCAGUGGGGAAUAUUGGACAAUGGGGGCAACCCUGAUCCAGCAAUUCUGUGUGCACGAAGACGGUUUUCGGAUUGUAAAGUGCUUUCAGCAGGGAAGAAGUAAGUGACGGUACCUGCAGAAGAAGCGACGGCUAAAUACGUGCCAGCAGCCGCGGUAAUACGUAUGUCGCGAGCGUUAUCCGGAAUUAUUGGGCAUAAAGGGCAUCUAGGCGGCCUUUCAAGUCAGGGGUGAAAACCUGCGGCUCAACCGCAGGCCUGCCUUUGAAACUGAUAGGCUGGAGUACCGGAGAGGUGGACGGAACUGCACGAGUAGAGGUGAAAUUCGUAGAUAUGUGCAGGAAUGCCGAUGAUGAAGAUAGUUCACUGGACGGUAACUGACGCUGAAGUGCGAAAGCCGGGGGAGCAAACAGG